rnacentral:misc_RNA from 1 species
GAUGAAGAACGCAGCGAAAUGCGAUAAGUAAUGUGAAUUGCAGAAUUCAGUGAAUCAUCGAAUCUUUGAACGCACAUUGCGCCCGCCAGUAUUCUGGCGGGCAUGCCUGUUCGAGCGUCAUUUCAACCAUCAAGCCCCAGGCUUGUGUUGGGGACCUGCGGCUGCCGCAGGCCCUGAAAACCAGUGGCGGGCUCGCUGUCACACCGGGCGUAGUAGAUUUUAUCUCGCUCAGGGCGUGCUGCGGGUUCCGGCCGUUAAAAAGCCUUUUUUACCCAAGGUUGACCUCAGAUCAGGUGGGACUACCCGCUGAACUUAAGCAUAUCAAUAAGCGGAGGA